UACGUAGGGUGCAAGCGUUAAUCGGAAUUACUGGGCGUAAAGGGCGCGCAGGCGGCAUGGCAAGUCGAGUGUGAAAUCCCCCGGCUUAACUGGGGAAUGGCGCUCGAAACUACCGCGCUGGAGGGCGGGAGAGGGAAGUGGAACUCUCGGUGUAGGGGUGAAAUCUGUAGAUAUCGAGAGGAACACCGGUGACGAAGGCGGCUUCCUGGCCCGUACCUGACGCUGAGGCGCGAAAGCGUGGGGAGCAAACAGG
rnacentral:rRNA from 1 species